UGGUACUUGGGAAGCUUGUUAUGCAAAGCAGGUAAAGUACAAGUGUGCACUUAGAAGUGAAACCUUGGCCCACGUACACCUGGUGGUGCUGCAACACCAAACAACACAGAAGUAACCAGAGUUUUUACAUUGGCUCACAGACAUUGAAGCAGAUUUUGUGCUCUUUACAUGACUGUAUAUGUGGUGUCAUGGAUAGAAAAAUCUGCAGAAUCAUUCUGGCUUUGGAAUAUUUAGUUGAAUAAAAAAAAAAUGAAGUAAAAAUGGAAGAUGUGAGUGUGAAGGCGAAGGUGUGUGGGAGUCUCAGGGUGUCUAAAGAGAGUGUGUAGAAGGACAAAGGAGCAGCAGAGCAGUCCAGAUACACCGAUGACCCUCUGUCAGAUCCUGAGUGACACAAAGGGGAUGAUGGUGCACUCUAGGCUCUGUGACAGAGGAACUAUUCUUAGAGCAGUUCACUCUGCACUGACAGUUAUCUGCUCUUAUUUUCAUCCAUCUGUCAGUCACUGCUGGAUAAAGCACCCACCUCCCAGUAACAUGUCCCCAUCAGAGCAUCUGCACAUAAGCUGCUGCCAUCUCAACAACUCUGAAUCAUCAGGCCACAGCUCAUCCAGCUUCAGCACAAACCACCCUGUUUACCACCAUUCCCAUCAGAAGAGAAGAGAAGAGCAGGUAUUUAAGUCCAGGGUGAAAAUAAUCUGCUGAGAGUCCAGAAUGCCUCAUUACUGCAAAAAGACUUUUGUUCUACUAAGUCUCUGUCUGCACAUGUGUACACACUGAAAAAAUAAUCUGUUGGAGUAACAUGAAAAAAUUUACAAUGGCAAUAAAAUUAUAUUUUAUAAGCUUUACUUUUGCUUGAUAUAACUGCGCAAUGUUUAUAUUAAAUGAACAUGUCUUUUAUGCUAUUUUAUGCUGUUAUUUUUUUAUUCAUGUGAUGUCUUCACAAUUAUCUCAUGUUCAUUUUACAGAAAAUGUUCAUGUUUACACUUGACACAAUGCUACAUUUCAGCAAACUCCCAUGCUAACAAUGAGACUAAAAUGACAAAAUGUGGAACAAGCUAAGAGGUGUGAACGGGGUGUUACUUUUUACUGCACCAUGCUUCUUUAACUAUCUGUCUUUUCUCAGUCGUGCACAGAUUACCAGUCAACACAGUAAACAUGUGACACACAUGUUUUUGAACUGUAAUAUAACACAGCACUGACUAACACACUGCUGGAGCGCUAAUGCAACACCACUAGCAUGAUAAUGUGCACACUGAAAUUACUGCAAUGCUUCAUAGCAAAGUAAUAAAGCAGGACCUGCCCAAGCAAAGCCUGCCCUUUUCAAGACCAGCUGGAGAGCAGCCACUGUAAAAGUAAAAGUAACAUUCAACUCAGGAGAUUCGAUAGAGGCAGAAAAUAAGUGAUCAGUUUUGCCAAUAACAUAUUCCAGCACUUGUUCCAGAGCUUAGUGAGUCUUUCAGAUCAAAGGACAGUCCUUUGAUCCUCUAGUUUGCAUGGGCAUCUCUGCUUUUUGAGUGCACAGCAUUCUUACUGUGGUCUCCUCAGUCCUUGCAUGUGAAAUGAAUGCAAUGAAACCUGUUUCACAAGAUUCUGCUCUGCAACAAAUCAGAACUGAGGAAGAUGUAAGAUACCGGGACAAAAUGCCGCUUAGGUGAAUGAACUGAAUGUCUCAGAGCUUAGGAAUGUGAUUAUGCCAGUACUGACACAUUCACUGGAGUCAUAAGAGUCAUCCAGCAUGGAAAGACAGUUGGAGUUAAGGCCACACUGUCUUUGUCUGUCUUUGUAUGCUCUGCAACAGAUUCAAGAAGUCUGGGUAGAAUCAGUCUUUGACUUCAAGGAUCACUCUGCAGGCAUCACUGCGUGUCUCAACCUGUAAAAGAUUGAAAAAGGUUUGUCUUAAAAAGAUUGUUGCAUAUGCUUCAUGGGUACAGUCACGUUUACUGUGUUUUAUCCACAUAUUGACAAGAUUUUUUGUCACAAUAAAUAAGAAUACUAAAAACAAUAAAAAACAACACAACAACAAUAAUAAUAAUAAUCUUAAAAUAACUUUUCAU
ensembl:lncRNA